AUGCCGAUUCACUUCCGUUCCUUUACGGAACCAUCGCCAGCCUACCGGAAGGGAAGGCGACGGCCGGUGCCAAGGGCUGCAGAGUGGGCACCGUGCUGGCCCUUGCCAUCCCCUCCCACUGACAGGGCUUUCCAUGUUUUAUCCCCAUUACCAUUGACGAGGACAGAUCAUAGGAUACCAGUACCACUGCUGGGAGCCUGGGACAUGUACUAUCAUGACAAUGUCAGGAGAACCUUCAUCUCUGGGCAUGAGAUGCAUAUGCAUUUCCCAAAAAUUGAUCCCGUGGACAAGAUCAGGUUAGUGAUUCAGGAGUUCCUGCCAAGACUGGCUUUUGGAAGUUAUGCUUGCUUCACUAGUUGGGUUUAA
rnacentral:rRNA from 1 species